AAAUCUUCAGCCUAAAUCAUUUAGCCUCACAAUUUUCCUCAUCUCAUGAUGAUUCUUCAUCUUUCUUACAUCCCUUCAUCGUUGUCUUGUGAUCCUUUAUAUCUUUUAACGCUUCCUUCUUUCUCACAAUUCCAUUUUCUCACAAACCUCAAGUCCAAACCUCUUCAUCUGCUUUUUCCUCUUAAGGCACCAAACGAUCGCUGGUGUUAGGUUCCGAAGGCACCGAUGGUGAUUCAGUUCGUUGAUUGUUGUGUAGGUGGCAGAAUAGGUUGUUUUGGAUGGCUUGUGGAAUUCACAUAAUGGGCUAGGUCAGUAAUCUCAGUGAUGACCAAUUGAAACAGAGACUUGAUCAUAUGUGUAGCACACCUUGCCAGGCACUCUUUCUAUGGCUGAUGAACAUGUACCAGAUUAUGUAGACAAGAAAGCAUUGGUGCAAAAGCAAGUAAAGAUAUGGGUCAUGGCAGUUUGAGUUUCCAUUUCGGUAAUGAGUCGACGGGUUAGAUUUUCUGAUACUGAUUGGGGUUGUUGGCUGUGAUUUGAGAAAUAUAAACUAAGUCGGCUGAGCUCGAAAGUAUAAACCAAGUUGAAAACUUGAGCUCAACUCGACUUUAGAAAACUUGGCUUAGUUUGCCUUGAAUCUUGCUAUCCCGAUUUUGGCUUGCUUGUAUUGUUAAAACUUAAAGAAAAAAAAAAACUCUUUAUAUGAAGUGGACCGGAUAAUGAUGUAAAAUCGGGCUUAAAAUAUUAAUCAACUUUUAUUACUGCUAUAAAAUGAUAUAAGCUGGGGGUUAAUUUAAGUGAGCAAACCUUACCUCGAGCUAAGCAAUCUUCAAAUUUCGAGUCACUAUCUAUUUGAAUAGCACUACGAAUAUAUCUAAUUUGGUAUAUGCAUAUUUUGUUUAUUGCAUAGAAGACUUUUAUAUUUAAAGUCCUUUCUUUCAUCAUCAUUUUUUUAAUUACUACGGGAAGUGAAUGGCAAUAUUAAGAUAUUAAGAUCAAUACAUAUCUACUAAGUUAAAGAACACUAUCUGUUGGUACUUGCAUACAUAUUAAUAUGUUUAUCAAAAUUUUAUUACAGUUUAUUAUUCAAUUUAUGUUUGAAUUCAUAAAGUAAUCAGUUUGAACUAACUACAAGUUACACUAUAAAAGUACAUGUGUUAGUAUGGUCACAAUAAUUAUAUUAUUUGUCAAAAUAUUUAUUGUUUUCACUAAAAAUAACGAUUAAAAUAAUCAAAUUAUUUAAAUGAUAUGUUCAUAUUAUAAAAAACAUGGUCAUGGGCAUUGGGUAAAUUCUCUUGCAUUAAGCACAAAGUACGUUCUUCGGACCAGUGAUGCAUUAGGGUUAUAAUUAGCAGAAAGUACGUUUAUCGCCGAUUUUGUAGUUUGAUGAUGAUAGCUUUUGUUGUAGUUCAGGUUGAUGAUCUAGGAAUUGUUUUCACCGAUCUGUAGUUACACAUUCUUUUACAAGGUAAGGGUUCUUACAAUUAUUGAUAUGCAAUUUUCUUUGUCUUCUGAUAUUAUCACCAGAAUAAGGUCUUCGUGUUUGAUUUUUUAGUUAUGUGAUUAUGAUUAUGUUAUGCUAUUCAACUAAAGAUUCAAGUGGGUCCAUGUUUGCUUUCGUCCUCUCAAUAUAGUGUUCCUCUUCGACCACCGAAAUCUCCUCUUAGUCACAUGUUGGUACACCAGGUACAUUUUUUCCCAAUUAUUGUUAGGUGAUGUGGCCGAUUAUUGUUAGGUGAUGUAGGAGCUGCAUAAGAACUUCUGAAUCUCUUUCUAUUAUGUCAUAAUGUAGUCAAGGUACAUUCAUCAAACUCCACUAAAUUUCCCCAUUCAAAGAAGAAUAUAAAAAAUUUGAUUAAACCACCGGCCCUUUGAUUGAAACAACACACACCCAAAAGUUAGUUAUUUUGCUUAACUUGGCCUACAUGAAGUGUGGUUUUACUCAUAUGACACACUUUCUCUUUGUAUCACUUUUUAUUUUCAAACUAAAAUAAAUAUUAACCAACAUUUUAUUUCAUAGAAAACCCCUAAUUCGGGUUCGGGUGGCUUUGAAUUCCAUGGAUGGAGUACUUUAUAUUCGUGAGGUGGACUUGAAAUUAUGUGAGAGCUAUUAACAACUAUCUAAUGCUUUGGCCACGAUGUUUAGUGCAUUCACCAUGGGUACAUCCGUCUUUUGUUUCUUAAUUAUUGAAUUUAUUGUUAAGGUGUUUUCUCAAGCCAAUGUAUUUUUGUGUAUGAUGCUUAUUUUUGUGGGAAGAGUGGGAAGUGGAGCUCUUCGUAACACCACUAUAAUGAUCCAUCAACCCUUCGAUGGGUUGGGGGCAAGGUAAAGAUACGACUGUUCACACUAAGCAAAUUGUUCGUCUUUGGUAUUCGCUAAAUGCAUUAUAUGUAAAAGCUAAAUGCAUUAUAUGUAAAAGCAUAUGGGACAAAACAUCGAUGUAAUUCAAAAUAAUAUGGAUCGAGAUUGUUAUAUAACCCCGGAAGAAGCUAUAAGGAGCUUGGGAUCAUAGAAAAAUUGGGCGGUGAAGGCUGCCAUGGAUGUAUCUCUCAAGGUGCGCAUAAGGAAUUUGGCAUGUGUUAAUAGCAUAAUGGUUUUUAGACGUGAGAAUUCAAGAAAUGACUAUAGGUAUCCUGUCAAAGGAUGGCCAGACUUCAUGUGUUCAAAUGGUAUGUCAGUCGGUCAGACUUGCACUUUUGUUUUCCUCCAAGAAGGAAAUGUACAUUGGUCCUUACCAAAGUCAAUUAGCAUUGCCUCCUUUUACUGCUAGAGAGACACUUUUUAAUCAAGAUUUUAGAUGCUACCUUUUUUAUUUUAGAUGCUACUUGUGUUACUUUUGAAUCGGAUAUUAGACGCUACUUUAGGGAUGGUUUUUGUUGGUUUAUAUGCUUGAUACCAAGUAGAAAUUAAAUGGAACAGACUUUAGUGGAAACCUGUGCUACUUUCGAAUAUAGAUCUAGUUUUUUAUAUGGUUAUUUGUACUCUGUAUAUUUGAAUUGCCAUACAUAAUUUCUUUUUAUAUGCAUAUUAAAAUAAAAACUAUUAAAACAAGUAAAUAUAUUAAAUGGUAAACUUAGUUAAGGUAACAUGUUAACUUAUUUCAUCUUUUUGGUUAAUUUGUUUGACUGUAAAUGCAUUUUAGUCAAAACUAAUCAUUAACAUUAUUUAAGGUAAAUUUAAUAUCAAUUCCAAAAGUUUUAUUUUGAUUGCUUAUCUUUGUACAAUUCAAAGGUAUUGAUAAUAGCUUUGACAAAUUUAUAUAUAAUAAUUUGCUUAUGUUUUUCAGUAAUGUAUUGAAAUCUUAUGUACUUAUUUUCUUUAUCUAUUUAUUCUUAGGUCCAGAAAGUUGUUAUUGUCGGAACGAUUACUUCAGUAAAUACUAAUCAUCUAUGGUAUUAUAGUGGAUGCAGUCACUCCAAGUUCAAGGUUGAAAAACAAUUCAACAGAUAUGAGCUGGAAAUGGGUCUUGUGAUGUUCUCAACAAGAAGGUUUAUGCAUGUAUGGGAAGCAUGUCUACCAAGUUACAAGCGAAUAGGUUUUGGAGUUACUUGAUGAGAGGCGAGGAAUUGUCGAUUGGUUAUCUUUAUGGUUUUAAAUGUUCAAGGAGCCAAGGGAAGCUAUUGGUUGCAAAACCUCCAAAACAUGCAGUAUCAAUUUAAAAUUGUCUUAAGCGUCUUGAUAUUUUCAUUCGUCUAUUCACUUAAUGUUUUGUGACAGUUCUUUUUUGUGUUUAAUACUUUAACUAAUUUGUCAAUUGUUUUAUUAAUCAUUCGAUUUUUUAUACAAA